rnacentral:tRNA from 1 species
GCCGGUUGAUGCUCUUCCCUCAGCUUGCCGAGGUCAGCGGUCAAGCUUCGUAGAUCGCCUUGAAGGUCGGGGGUUCAAUCCCCUCAGCCGGCACCA